UACGGGGGAGCAAGCGUUGUUCGGAUUUACUGGGCGUAAAGGGCGCGUAGGCGGCCACCGCAAGUCGACUGUGAAAUCUCCGGGCUUAACCCGGAAAGGUCAGCCGAUACUGCGGGCUAGAGUGCAGAAGGGGCAACUGGAAUUCUCGGUGGUAGCGGUGAAAUGCGUAGAUAUCGAGAGGAACACCUGCGGCGAAGGCGGGUGCUGGGCUGACACUGACGCUGAUGCGCGAAAGCUAGGGGAGCGAACGGG
rnacentral:rRNA from 1 species